rnacentral:lncRNA from 1 species
CAGACUCAUUCUUCUCCUUCGCCGCAUCAUACUUGAAACCCUAGAUUCACAUCUCGGCUACGCUAAUUGCAGAUCAUUCUAUCGCAUCAGGUUUGUUUUUGGUACGAUUACGAUGUUGAGUUCGGCUUUUGAAAAGGAUUUGAUGACCGAGGAGAUGAUAGGGAUCAAGGUAAAUUAGCAAUUGAGGCAACCGAAGACUAUGCACAAGUAGCAAAACUCCAUUCAGCUCUAUAGUUGGUUGACCACAAGAUAAGAAAGGUAGUGUUCGGUGCGAUUUUGAAGAAUAUAUGUAGUGAACAAGUAACUCAAAUCUCUGCCAUGGAAUUUCUCUUCAUGGCAUAGAACAAUGGCAGGUGCUAUGGCGAAACAUCGGGCCUUUGGAAUUUCUCUUCAGCCAAAACUAUAUUCUCACUACCUGCACUGUUGACAUUUCAUGAAUAACAACGACCCAAACACUGUGGAUGAGCUUUUGGAUCCACAUGUAGUCAAGAAAAGGAAAUUUUUAUGAUAGUGUGAAACUGGAACAAGGGGCUGCGGCUUCACUACUUAAGGAAUGGUGUUAAAGAUGUGGAUACAAGGAAGCCAUAAGUAACUAAAGAGGGAAGAUUCAUACCUCACAUUGAUUCAUCAAAACUUGAGAGAGACCUACGCAACAAGUCUUACAUAUGUUAAAGGUCAUUGCAGCCAAUAUUAUUACUGAUCGAGAUUCCAGAAGGUUUUGAGGAUUUGGUUUUAUUAGUUAUACAUCAACUGAUGCAGCUAAUAGCGCUCUCUGUUUCCCUGCAUAAAACCGUAAAUCAAAGAGACGAACUCUCAUCCAGCAUCAGUGGUCGUAUUCUGACAAAGGCCCGGCUACAAGUGGCAGCUCCCGAUGCAUAAAGGCAGUAUUGAGUGUCUGUUUAAUGGUGGAAAUGGAGAAUCUGGCAACCCAGACAGCAGAUCCGACUGAUUUAGGGACCAGCUACGUUAAUCCAAUAAGCACGGUUAUCAUGUUCUUUGUUCCAAUUUGCUAGAUCCAGAGUUUAAACAGUGGUGAUAUUUAUUAUUCUGGUGUUUAUAGGCGUUGGUGUUGACCGGAGGCUGUGGAGGCGUUUCUGUUGACUGGAGGCAUAUGGAUCUUGAGUUGGGGUAUUCUUAAUUAUGUUCAUGGUGUGUGAUUCGUGUAGUUCGUGUGUUAUGUAGGUGGGUUUUGCUACAAUAAGUUUAAGAUGAAAACCCCAUAAAUAUUGGUCGAGGGCAUUUAAUCAUGGUUCUUAGGGUUUUGGCAUCAUUGCUGGUCAUGCAACUUCAACCGAUCGAAGCUGGUUAUUGAUUUCAGUCAUUGGGGGAGUUAUCAUGUGUAAAGUUUUUCAUGUGCAGAGUGAUGAAUUUGAUUUGAUUUAAGUGCAUUCUUUGUUUAUUUGAAGAACAUCGACUUCUCCAAGCACCCAAGGAACCUUUCUCUGGGAAGUCAAACUAUAUUGUUAUCAGGGCCCUCAUCAAAUGCUUGCCAAAGCUUUGGAUCAUUACUUUAAAGCCAAGUUGUUACUGCAAGAUGUCACUGAUUUUUCACUCAAGGUCCAAUAUGGAGCAUCCUAUAAGCUCAGGUGGUUUUAAUGUAUGUGAUGGUCCCACCAACUUGGGUCAGUUACCAAUUAAACGUACAGGGAAAAAGAGCCACAUGCAUUGCUUCAAUCUCCGUCUUUAACAAACACAAGACAUGGUAUUACAGGGGUUGCCAACAAUCUGAGACAUAAGCACACCAAAGUUUACAUGAAAGGAUGAAGCGACAGUAGGAGAGCCAUUCAAGUAUGAACAAAAAAUAUGUGCAUUCAAGUUUAAGUUUACAUGAAAGGAUGAAGCAACAGGCCAAAACCAAAAAAAUUAUUAUUUUGUACCCUUUAAUUUGUUUGCUCCGAAUAGUUUACAAAACGAUUUUUUAAUGUGUACUGAACAACAUGAAUAGAUUGGGUUAAUUUUUAACUUUUGGAACUAAAAGUUUUACCUCUCG